UGAAUGUUUGAUUUUGGCUUAAUUGUUUUGUGGUCUUAUUAAGUUUGCAUGAAAGUCAUUAGCUAGGAGUAUUUGUCGUUUUGUAGUUAUGCAAUUUGGCGUAAUUAUUUCUUGUUCUUGUUAUCUCAGCAUAAAAUAUUAAUAUUGCAUAAAAAUGUGAGUUAGUAGUAAGAAUGAAGCUUAUUAAUAGUUAAAUAGUCUGAUAAACAUUUGUGCCAGCAUUCGCGGUUAUACUUUGAGGCUAAACGAAAUAUAUUAGAGUUAGUUAGGUGAAAAGGAUGUAAAUAAAUUAUUAGUAGUAAAAGGUGAAAUUAGAUUGUUAUUAAAUAAUUAAAAUAUAUCAAAACUGAAGCUAAAAAAGUUUGAUUAAAGACUAGGAUUAGAUACCCUAUUAUUUUAAAUUUAAAUAUUAAUAAACUCUAGAUAAGUAGUAGAUAGGUACUUAAAAAUUAAAAAAUUUGGCGGUGAUUUAAUCUUUUCAGAGGAACUUGUUUUUUAAUCGAUAAACCACGUUUAAUCUUACUUAUUUUGGUAUAAACAGUAUGUAUACCAUCAUUAACAGGUAAUUUUAAAAGAAAAAAUUACUAAAAAUAAUUAAUUAAAAAAAUUAGAUCAUGGUGCAGCUUAUAAAUAAGGUAAAAUGAAGUUACAAUAAAAGUUUUUUAUUAUGAAUUAGUAAAGGAAGAGUUUACUAUAAAGGUGGAUUUGAUUGUAAAUGUGGAUUAAUAAGCUUAUUUGAUAUUGGUGCUAAAUCAUGUACAUAUCGCCCGUCGCUUUCGCUAACCGAAAUAAGUCGUAACAUAGUAGAUGUACCGGAAGGUGCAUCUAGAAGUAG
rnacentral:ncRNA from 1 species